CUGUUUUCAAAAAAUAAAAUAAAAAAUCGAGCCUUUACCGUCCUCUCAAAAAAAUAUAAAAAAUCGAUCCUUACCCUGAGUGGAGCCGAUGAGGCCCGCACGCCAGUGGAAGCCCCGGAGGAAGGUGUCCAUGCGGUGCGGGCUGCGGGCGGACUGGGCGCGGUGUAAAGGCCACGUGGGAAUGGGCCUCGCGCCCUUCUAUAUAUCCGCCUUCGGGCCGCCCGGUCUGCACCGCACCGCACUGCACGACAGCCAUCUCUUCCGUGCGGUUCCAAGCUCCAACUCCCACGCCCGUCUCCCCCGAGAUCAGGAGGAGCACGCCGCACCGGAGCGCCGAGACCUCGAAGCCUUCGUCUCCACCUCGGAGCAGAGAUGGGGCUCACGUUCACCAAGCUGUUCAGCCGCCUCUUUGCCAAGAAGGAGAUGAGGAUUCUCAUGGUUGGUCUCGAUGCCGCUGGUAAGACCACCAUCCUCUACAAGCUCAAGCUCGGAGAGAUCGUCACCACCAUCCCAACCAUCGGAUUUAACGUCGAAACUGUUGAAUACAAGAACAUCAGCUUCACUGUUUGGGAUGUGGGGGGCCAAGACAAGAUCAGGCCCCUGUGGAGGCACUACUUCCAGAAUACGCAGGGCCUCAUUUUUGUUGUCGACAGCAAUGAUAGGGAACGUGUUGUUGAGGCUAGGGAUGAGCUCCACAGGAUGCUGAAUGAGGAUGAGCUGCGUGAUGCUGUGUUGCUUGUAUUUGCAAACAAACAAGAUCUUCCUAAUGCCAUGAAUGCUGCUGAAAUCACCGACAAGCUUGGUCUGCACUCCCUGCGCCAGCGGCACUGGUACAUUCAGAGCACUUGUGCGACGUCUGGCGAAGGGUUGUACGAGGGACUUGACUGGCUCUCCAACAACAUUGCCAACAAGGCUUGAAGCGUCUCGACAAGUGCUUCAUCAAGAAACAAACGUGCUGGAUGUCUCAACAACUCACUGCUACCAUUUUACAUAUUGUGAUAUAUAUACACUGCACAAGAGAUAGUAUGUGUGCGUAUGUGACAGGCAGAAGCUCCCUUCUUUAAGUGAGCUAGUAUCAGGUCAGGUUGUCUUUUUUUGUAUGGAUAUUAUCAGCUGCUGUUCGGUGGUUUUACAAGGUUUAAUGUGUCGACAAUGUGUGUCUGAACCCCUAUCUUUUUGAGUUUUAGUAAGAUUGGAUUAUGGUUGCCAAUGUUGGUUGGUUCAGUUGAGUGAUGUGGAUGGUACAUGUUGCGAACAUACUUAUGUGAGCGAUGUUUUCAGUAGUUCUGUAUACGAUCCAGUCGGUGCUGGUUCUGCUCUUUCGGUCUGGCUGUCGGUAUCGUUUGCACGCCACCAAUAUUUGUGGAGAUCCACUCACGCACUCGGUGAUGGGUGCAUACGCCAUUAUUGCCGCAUACGGUGGGCAUGGAGUUAUUUACUUAUAUUUCUUUCUGCACUUGUAUUUGUUAGGCUGGUCAUAG
rnacentral:rRNA from 1 species